rnacentral:rRNA from 1 species
AUUGAACGCUGGCGGCAUGCUUUACACAUGCAAGUCGAACGGCAGCACGGGUGCUUGCACCUGGUGGCGAGUGGCGAACGGGUGAGUAACGCAUCGGAACGUAUCCAAUAAUGGGGGAUAACGCAUCGAAAGGUGUGCUAAUACCGCAUACGCCCUGAGGGGGAAAGUGGGGGAUCUUCGGACCUCACGUUAAUGGAGCGGCCGAUGUCUGAUUAGCUAGUUGGUGGGGUAAAGGCCCACCAAGGCUUCGAUCAGUAGCUGGUCUGAGAGGACGACCAGCCACACUGGGACUGAGACACGGCCCAGACACCUACGGGAGGCUG